rnacentral:ncRNA from 2 species
AACUUAUCAAGAGUGGCGGAGGGACCUGACCCAAUGAAGCCCGGCAACCAGUUUAUUUGUAAACCACGGUGCUACAUUCAGCAGAGCAGCUUUUGUUCUGAAAGAUAAGUG